CCUCUGAGAAGGACCAAAUAAUUGUAGUCUUAAAGGCCGAAGGUUUUGAAAUAGUUCGUUCGAAUAAUCAACGAAGGUACUUUUAAAAGUACCAAAACUUUGCCUGUCAAUUUAAUUCAAACCUUUGCGCCGAUUGAGAAAAAAAGUAUUUUGUCUAUGAACUAGUUCAUUCAAUUUCGUGAAUAGGU